ACAUUUAUUUUGUGUGCGUGUGCGCGUAGGCCGAUCAUUUUGACUUUGUCAUUUGAAAAGUAGUUCGCAAGUCGAAAAAGUAGGAUACAUAAAGGGCAGCGAGAUACAAGGUAUUACCUGUCUCCCUUUCUUAGGAUUGUUUUUAAUUUUGACAGAUGAUUACAACAAGUACAUUCAAGUACACAGUAAAAAAUGGAGUGUCAAUAUUUCAGAGUCAACCUGUUUUAACCUAAAUAAGAGUAUUUACAACUCUAUGGAGAGUAAACCAGCUCUAACAGUAGAGUUAAAAGCCAGUGUAAACUUCUGCAGACAUGCAAAUGAAAAAUUCAACUCUACAGAGUGAUAUUUAGUGCAAGAAGCUCGAACGGUACAUGGUAUUUUCUCAAGUGUGGUGCCACAGUCAGUUAAGUAACCUUAACAUUCAUAUGCUGGUAAAGUUUUUUAAUAAUUAUUUUUCAACUAAACAUUUUAUAGUUAGCCUAUAGGUUUUAUAGUUUCACUAUGUCAAUUGAGGACAUGGCAACAUGAUGAUAUUGUCGAGUAGCUAAAUGCUAACAGUUGUUACUACAUGCUAACAGUUGCUAACAGUUCAAAAGUCCUAUAACUCUCAUUGAGUUAAGAUGCACCUAUAUAACAUGUUAACUACGUGUUUCUUCUGAAUGCUGCUGAGAUAAUAUUAUUGCCUCCUGUCUUAUGGCAUAGUUUUAACAACUAAAUUAUCGUUUAUUACUAUGCUAAUAACCGCUAACUAGCUUCCAUGCUAGGCGAACGAACUUUCGGAAGUGGGUAUAAUGUGGCCAUAAAGUUAACUCUACUGGCUUAUAUUGUUUUAAGCCAAAUGCCAAUAAACAUGCGGAUUUAGAGUUUCAUUCCUUAUUUAAUGAGUAAUGUGUAUUUUGCGUAAAUGAAGUGCUUCCAUCCAUUUUCUAUACCGCUAAGUCCCGAACGGGGUCACUGGAGCCAAUCAGGCGAAAGGCGGGGUACACCCAGGACAGGUCGCUGGUCAAUCACAGGGCCAACACUCAGACGAACAACCACACACACUCACACGCAAUUUAGAGACACCAAUUAACCUAAGUCGAAUGCCUUUGGACUGUGGGAGGAAGCCGGAGUACCCGGAGGGAACCCACGCAAGCACGGGGAGAACAUGCAAACUCCGCGCAGAAAGGUCACAAACCCGUGGCCAGCUCGAUGUAAGGCAACAGCGCUACCCACCGCCCCACCAUGCUGCCCCACUAAAUUAAGUACACAGAUUUGUUAAUCAUGACUCAAGUAUAUCACCUAAAGUUGUGCCUUGUUGUUCACAGAAAACAGUUAUCUGUCUUCAUACUGCAAGUAAGUAAUGUUUGUAUUUUAUAUCAAACACCAGUUCAGAAGCGCAUGAAUAGGUAACUCUUUGUACAACAGUUUUCUUGGGUUAUUUUUUUUCCUCUAUUUAUUUGAACAGAAUAUGGUGCUGCGUGUUUUGUUUGGCGGAGAACAGAAGUAUGUUAGGCUGUCUGACCUAACAUUUGAUGCUUUCAUGAAAGAAGUGUGCCUAAAAUUUAACAUACCAGAAGGCAGACAGCUAGAUAUGAAGGUGUAUGACCAGUCUGACACGGAAGUUGAUGCAGAGGUUUUUGAAGAAAUAGUGAAGGAGUCACCUUGAACCUUCCGAGUCAUGCUGAGCGAUGAAGAACCUGGUGUGUCUCUAUCAUCAUCAUCCUCAGUAUCUGAUGACACCAUCAUUCUGAAUGUCAUGAUGUGUGACCCUCCUGAAGAAGCAGCCGCUGCCGAAGGAAGUCAACCUAAAAGGCCAUGCCAUAUAAACUAUGAGCAAAAGCGAUUUCAUAUUUUAUUUUAAUUUAAGUUAAUUGAAAAUAUCUUAACAACAAAGCCCGGUGGUGAACACAUCAUGCAAGAGUAUGCAAAAGCCAAAUCUCUGACAGAUGCAACCAGAAGAAAGAUGAUAAACAUACUUGCUGCUGAGAUGACAGAAACACAUGGGACAUCUCCCGCUAAAAGUGUAAGAGUGAUGUAUGCACAGGGGAUAGUUGCUCUGUUUCCAUAUCUGGAAGACCCAUAUUCACAACAUGGAUAUGCGCAUUACUAUGAUCCAGAGAGUGGUUCAGGAUACCUUGCAUGGCGGUCGAAGACCAUUCAAAGAAAAACUACACAGGAAAGAAGUGUCUCAGUUAGCAAAUCUCCCAAAAGUUGGUGGGCCAGGCCAUGGUCGUUCCAGACCCUUCACCUCUGACACAGUGUUAUCAAAUGAGGAUGUGGAAGCAGCUAUUGCUGUUUUGAGACAUUCUGCUGAUGAAGACACUAUCCGUGAGAAGAUGAAAGUUACCUUCAUGUAUCGUCAUUCAAUUGUCAAAGAUGAAAAGAAAGCAGCAGAUGUCUUCUCAGUCUUCCCGCGCUUUCUGGACACACCAGGACUGAUAGAACAAGAUUUCAGACACCUUUUUGGUGAGGUCUGCCAACAAAUUCUUGGAGAAGUGGCCCACCUAUCUCAAAGCAAAAGUUUUAAAGGAAAGCCAUGGACUGGUGCCCACCACAGAGCUCUUGCAAUUAAUGUGCAAUGCUGAGUCAACUGCUGAAGUUGAGAAUGACUGUGACUUUUUAAUCACCAUUGUUGAUUAUAUAGGUAAUUGUGCCAAUUUAAUGUAUUUAUGGCAUAAUGUUAAUCUGAUGUUUGUUGAUCUGUAGGCUGGGACAGUGACAUGUCUGCUAUCUUGCUGCUGCUUCAUCUGCUACCACCAUCAGCGCAAGGACGAAAGAGACCAGGAAAGAUAUCUGUAUCUCAACCUGCCAAACCUCAUCAAAUUUAUACAGGUAUAUUAAAAAGUUAACUAAUUAAUUAAAAUGUUAAAAUAUACUUUCCAUCACUUCCAUUUCAUGCACAGUGAGGUGUUCUGAUCUAUUGUUGUUACGGCAAGCCGCACACCAAAAGAGUGUGCAAACUGUUGUAAUUCCUACACCGUUCACCUGAUUUG